rnacentral:rRNA from 1 species
CAGUCGCCACGGUAAUACGUAGGGUGCGAGCGUUAAUCGGAAUUACUGGGCGUAAAGCGUGCGCAGGCGGUUCGUUAAGACAGAUGUGAAAUCCCCGGGCUUAACCUGGGAACUGCAUUUGUGACUGGCGAGCUAGAGUAUGGCAGAGGGGGGUAGAAUUCCACGUGUAGCAGUGAAAUGCGUAGAGAUGUGGAGGAAUACCGAUGGCGAAGGCAGCCCCCUGGGCCAAUACUGACGCUCAUGCACGAAAGCGUGGGGAGCAAACAGGAUUAGAGACCCCCGUAGUCCCUGUCUCUUAUAC